rnacentral:lncRNA from 1 species
GUCAAUAUGUCUCAACUCUCGAUCCAAAUUAGAUAUAAUCAGAUGUGGUAUGAGUGUCAAUAUGUCUCAACUCUCCAUCCAAAUCAUAAAAGAUCACACCGAACAGCUUGGUAGGUUGUAUUCAAAUAUGGUAUUCGAGUGUACAAGAUUGUCAUCCUAGUGGUGCCUUUAAUGUUUUUUUUAAUUUAUUUUAAAUUUUCCAGAAAAAUUGACCAGAAGCAGUAAAAUAAGCUUAAAUUUAUUAAAAAUAUUUCACAUGAAAUUACUUGAAUAAAUUGGAAAACAUGAUUUAAUCUGAAAAAUCCAUUUUUUACGACAGAUGUGUUGAGAAACAAAAUAAAGACAACUGCAAAUGCACAGGAAAAAAAGCUUCAAGAAUAAACAUGUUAAGGCAAGUAUACAAGAAGCAUUCUACAGAUGUAUGUUCAACCAUACAAAUAAACAUAUUAAGGCAAGUAUACAAGAGGCAUUCUACAGAUGUUUGUACAACCAUUUAUACAAACAUGUUAAGGCAAGUAUACAAGAAGCAUUUUACAGAUGUUUGUUCAACCAUUCAUAUAAACAUGUUAAGGCAGGUAUACAAGAAGCAUUCUACAGAUGUAUGUUCAACCAUACAUAUAAACAUGUUAAGGCAGGUAUACAAGAAGCAUUCUACAGAUGCAUGUUCAACCAUUCAUAUAAACAUGUUAAGGCAGGUAUACAAGAUGCAUUCUACAGAUGUUUGUUCAACCAUUCAUAUAAACAUGUUAAGGCAGGUAUACAAGAAGCAUUCUACAGAUGUAUGUUCAGCCAUACAUAUAAUCAUGUUAAGGCAGGUAUACAAGACGCAUUUUACAGAUGUGUGUUCAACCAUACAUAUAAACAUGUUAAGGCAGGUAUACAAGAAGCAUUCUACAAAUGUAUGUUCAACCAUUCAUAUAAACAUGUUAAGGCGAGUAUACAAGAAGCAUUCUACAGUUGUAUGUUCAACCAUGCAAAUAAACAUGUUAAGGCAGGUAUACAAGACGCAUUCUACGGAAGUAUGUAAAACAAUAACUUUGACCAAAAAACUUUGUUCUCCCUAGUCUAAAACUGUUGUAUUGUUCAGUCGUGAAAUGGAGUAUUUCUAUACCAUGCCACCAGAAACGAUGCAGUUUAACAACACUUUAAAAAGAAAGUUAUGUCAUUGAAUAGAUAGCUCUGCGAGUAAAUUUCUAAUGUCCGCGAGUAUCACCUGUCUAGUAGCCAGUAUUUCUUUUAAGGAAUCAAGAUACGGAUAUUGUAUUCUGACAUUGACAGUGUUUUGAAACUAUAUAGUAUUACGAAAUGUAAAGCUGCUCUUAUUUCUGGCUAUACAUAUACUUUUCUUCAUUUUUGGUUUGAUCAGCUCCUCGGUUAUUGAUAAGUUUCGGAUUUAAUUAUAGUUGGGCCUCGAUCAUCACUAUAGAGAUAUGUGUAAUCGAUAUGCGAAUCUGAUGUUGGGAAUUGGUACCGUUUGUUUUUGCAAUUAUUUCCAUUGUUUAAAAGAGGAACGAAAGAUACCAGAGGGACAGUCAAACUCAUAAAUCGAAAAUAAACUGAAAACGCCAUGGCAAAAAAGGAAAAAGACAAACAGACAAACAAUAGUACACAUGACACAACAUAGAAAACUAAAGAAAAAGCAACACGAACCCAACUAGGGGUGAUCUCAGGUGCCCCGGAAGGGUAGGCAGAUCCUGCUCCACAUGUGCCACCCGUCGUGUUUAACUUUUAUUUAAAUUUAUGAUAUAUAAACGACAUCUAAAAGGUCUUUAAAAUGUAUUCGUUUUUUUAAUUAACAGGAACAUAGAUUGAUGCCACAGACAAUGUUAAAAGUCGUGCAAAAACAAGAGAUAGACUAGAAACCGAUAUUGACUCAAUAGUAAAGUUAGGGUUGUGAUAUUUAAUGGUUACAGGAAAGGAAAAAACAGAUAUUACAGAUAUUGACUCAAUGGAAAAGUAAGGGUUGUGACAUAUAAUGGUUACAGGAAACGGAAUAUCACUAUAUAACAAUUGUUAUGUCACGAAGCUUAGACAUAACGAUUGAACCAUUCUAAAAAAAUCCAUCUCUAUUCAAGGCAAAGACUCUAUUCCUAAAAAACAUCUAUCUUUGGCCUUUCAACUGUUGUGAUUGGACCGCAAUUUUGUGAUUGGACCGCCACCUUUUGAUUGGAUCGCCACUGAUUAGUCUUCUGUAGACGAAAUGUGUCUGUCUGUUUGUUCGUUCUUUCAUGAAGCUCACCGAAUAGGAACAAUAGGACAAGUGAGCUGUGAUAUUUUAUGGUUAUAGGAAACAGAAUAUCCCCAAAACAAGAGAUAAACUAGAAACCGAAUAUUUAUAUGUUACGAACAUGUAUCAUUACUCGUAACGAUCUAGCGCCCUCGUUGGAAAGUUUCUUUGGCUAAUAUCUAGACGUUUUAUACAUUAUGAAUUGUUUAAUGGUUUAAUGUGAGUGUAAAAUCAUGAUCAACUCUGAAAUUUUUAAAAAUAUACAGAGAGGGAAAGAACGUGUUUCGUUUAUCAUGCACUCCAGCAGCACCUGCAUACGGGGUAUAUAUCUCCCAAUUGAUACGAUAUUCCCGUGCUUGCAUUUCCUAUCAUGAUUUUCUUGAUAGAGGGUUGCUGCUCACAAGGAAGAUAUUAAACCAAGAGUUCCAAAUGGUGAAGUUGAAAUCAUCCCUUCGUAAAUUUUACGGACGCCAUCACGAGUUGGUUGAAUGUUAUGGAAUAACCGUUUCACAAAUGAUAUCGGAUAUGUUCCUUACGUCGUAACUACAAACCCCUUCCCUUUCAUGAAUGUGACCUACCGAAUUAGACUAUUUACCGGAUUUGUUAUCACAUAAGCAACACGACGGGUGCCACAUGUGGAGCAGGAUCUGCUUACCCUUCCGGAGCACCUGAUAUCACCCCUAGUUUUUUUUUGGUGGGGUUCGUGUUGUUUAUUCUUUAGUUUUCUAUGUUGUGUCGUGUGUGCUGUUGUUUGUUUGUCUUUUUCAUUUUUAGCCAUGGCGUUGUCAGUUUGUUUUAGAUUUAUGAGUUUGACUGUCCCUUUGAUAUCUUUCGUCCCUCUUUUACAAGUCAUUAUAUUUUUAAAAGUGUUAAAUUUAUAAGUUAAGCUACAAUGUAUACCAUAGGUGUUUUUGUUGCUGUUGUUAUAUUACUUUAUAUACGUCUAUUGUUUACAUGUGUGUAAUAGUAUAUUAAUUACGUUUAUCCAUAUUGUUAACAUUGUAUGUAGAGAGCCUUAUUAAAAAU